rnacentral:rRNA from 1 species
UACGUAGGGUGCGAGCGUUGUCCGGAAUUAUUGGGCGUAAAGGGCUCGUAGGCGGCCAACUAAGUCGGAUGUGAAAUCCCCAGGCUUAACCUGGGAACUGCAUCCGAUACUGGAUGGCUUGAAUCCGGGAGAGGGAUGCAGAAUUCCAGGUGUAGCGGUGAAAUGCGUAGAUAUCUGGAGGAAUACCGGUGGCGAAGGCGGCAUCCUGGACCGGCAUUGACGCUGAGGCGCGAAAGCUAGGGGAGCAAACGGGG